rnacentral:rRNA from 1 species
GACAGAGGGUGCAAACGUUGUUCGGAAUUACUGGGCGUAAAGCGUGUGUAGGCGGAUGCCUAAGUACCUUGUGAAAUCCCACAGCUCAACUGUGGAACUGCUUGGUAUACUGGGUGUCUUGAGCCACUUAGGGGUUACCGGAACAAAUGGUGGAGCGGUGAAAUGCGUAGAUAUCAUUUGGAACGCCAAUGGUGAAAACAGGUAACUGGGAGUGUGCUGACGCUGAGACACGAAAGCCAGGGGAGCGAACGGG